rnacentral:rRNA from 1 species
UCGAGAAUCAUUCACAAUGGGGGAAACCCUGAUGGUGCGACGCCGCGUGGAGGAUGAAGGUCUUCGGAUUGUAAACUCCUGUCAUCCGGGAGUAAGACCUGACGGUGAACAGCCGGCAGGGUUGAUAGUACCGGAAGAGGAAGGGACGGCUAACUUCGUGCCAGCAGCCGCGGUAAUACGAAGGUCCCAAGCGUUGUUCGGAAUCACUGGGCGUAAAGGGUGCGUAGGCGGUCUUGCAAGUCGGGCGUGAAAUCCCGGGGCUCAACCCCGGAACUGCGCUCGAUACUGCAAGGCUAGAGUACUGGAGAGGAGACUGGAAUUCUCGGUGUAGCAGUGAAAUGCGUAGAUAUCGAGAGGAACACUCGUGGCGAAGGCGAGUCUCUGGACAGUUCCUGACGCUGAGGCACGAAGGCCAGGGUAGCGAAAG